CCUACGGGAGGCAGCAGUGGGGGAUAUUGCACAAUGGGGGGAACCCUGAUGCAGCGACGCCGCGUGGGUGAAGAAGCGCCUCGGCGCGUAAAGCCCUGUCAGCAGGGAAGAAAAUGACGGUACCUGAAGAAGAAGCCCCGGCUAACUACGUGCCAGCAGCCGCGGUAAUACGGAGGGGGCAAGCGUUAUCCGGAUUUACUGGGUGUAAAGGGGGCGCAGACGGCGAUGCAAGCCAGGAGUGAAAGCCCGGGGCCCAACCCCGGGACUGCUCUUGGAACUGCGUGGCUGGAGAGCAGGAGGGGCAGGCGGAAUGCCUGGUGUAGCGGUGAAAUGCUUAGAUAUCAGGAGGGACACCGGUGGCGAAGGCGGCCUGCUGGACUGCAACUGACGUUGAGGCCCGAAAGCGUGGGGAGCAAACAGGAUUAGAUACCCCUGUAGUC
rnacentral:rRNA from 1 species